CCGGGAUUCGAACCCACGUCCUGUGACUCCCAGGCCCGGUCUCUUUCCACUGAGCCACGCCGCUUCUCUUAUAAAGUUUCCAGGUGACAAAGACGUCGGUGAGGUUGUCGACUUUGGGAAGACGGAAGAGCUGAGGACUGGAAUACUAAAUCGAAAGCAUUGAGAAAAUGUAAUAAAAUAUAAUAUUAACUCGAACAAUAUUUACACAUUUGGAAACAUUUCAUUCAAGCAUUGAACGUUGUGGUUUCGUUUUUAUUUUCAGAACUCCAUUCCAGACGUAUUGGCCUACAGUGUUCCUAGCUGACAUUUAGAUUAACAUUUGUGUGAUUUUUGGUUAAUGCUACCAUUUAUCUUGGAUUAAGCAACCAACUGAGAUUAACACUGCUUCAGUGGAUUCGUCCAGUAAUAUUCGUAGGAUACCUAAAGCGAAUCCUGGGGAGAUUUAUGAAAUAUGAGUAAAUGAUGCCGAAUAUUGCACUUGAGAAGUUAACCUUGGUUCCCUUAUAACAAUAAGGUGCGAUAACAAGCCUCUCCGGGUGACAUCACACUUUUUGUUCUCCCUUUUGUAACAACGUGUAUGUAUUUACGCACACAUUUGUGUGUGUGUGUCUGUUUCUAAUUUUAUAAACAAUAAAGUCUAAGUUUGAACAGAA